rnacentral:lncRNA from 13 species
AUGAGAAUGGCAAAACUGUCUACUCCCAAACCUGCCACAACCCUGGGGAGUUUAUACCUUUUUGAUAGUGGAGAUGCUCUCAAGGACUGUAGUGAUGUUGACCAAGCAUAUCUCCUCCACCUGCUAAAAACUCACAACCUGCUAAAGGAGCCCUGCCACAAGGGAACGGCUACUGGGAUGCAAUGUAAUGUGCAACUUUUACACUCACCUGCACUUUGCGUUCUGAUUUUGAAAUCCUUUGUACUAAUCAUCUAUCAACAGAAUUGCAAUGGUAGAUACAUCCUUUGGAUGACAAUUCCGAGUUGUUGCUGACACUUUCUUUAAGCUUCCACUGUAUGUUUUUGCUGCCGUGCCAGGGAAUUGCUGCUGCUCAUUCUACCCUGCAUUACUUGUAAAACAAUAAAAUAUUGUGUUGGUUGCCAGUGCAAUUUGUAGUAAAAGGGAAUGUGGUUCACAGUUCCUAAUCUUUUGGAUUUCAAAUAUAUCAUUUAUUUUUAUCUUUGUUGCUGGUUGACAAAUCCCAAGAUUGUCUCUACGUUAAAGCCACCGACCACGUUUACAUGUACAUCGAUAUACCGUUAUUCGGGAUCCUGAAGUAUUUAUUUUGUGUUGACAUGUAAACAUCAAAUCCUGUUUUACAAAAACCUGAGAAAGUUUGUACCCCGGAGAUGGGCUACUGUGGCAUGUAAACCUCUUCUGUUUUUGUGGUAUGCGCAAGCUCCGUUUCGCAUCUCAUGGUUGUCUGACUCUGUCAAUCAAUUUAAAGUGGGCUACCUGUCCAGUUUGAUCCACCAUAACUGAGCUUAAUGGCUAUUUUCACCCCUAAUUUAGACACGUUUCUGCUUACUUACAUUAGGUAGGCCAUUUGUCAACUACAGUUUAAUACAUGCAGCUUCUCUUCUGUCAUAACAUGUUGCCCCAGAAGACUAAAGUAGUGCUCACAAAUGUCUUACGUUGAUAGAAUGAAUGCAUUAGUCAUCUUAACAGGUAAAAUUAUUUAAGGACCAGGUAGCAUGCUAGAACACAGUGGAAACAUUGGUCCUGUGCCAAAUGUCAUUUUGACAGAUUUUAAGGAAAUGGAAAGCUGAGAAUGGUAACUUCAGUUAGUCUUGGGUGUGUAUUUUAUGUGGUUGAAAUGCUGUGUGCUUGCAAAAGUGUCAAAGAUGACACAUUACACGUGCAUUGGCAUUUUCCCCGAGACGCUGAUAGAAAUAUUUAUCCACUCCUGUUCCCAAAACAAUUUAAAGAGAUUUUUAUUUCACUGCAACUGAAGUUAAUAUAAACUCCGCAAAAAAAUAAACAUCCUCUGUGUCCUGUGUUUUUUUCCAGCAAACUUAACGUGUAAAUAUUUGUAUGAACAUAAGAUUCUACAACUGACACAAACUGAGUUCCACAGUUC